AAGAUCAGUUGCUUCUGGUUUAUGAUUACAUGCCAAAUCGCAGCCUUGACAGGGUGCUUUUUAGAAAUCCAGAAAAUUUGACAGCAGCAGCACCUCUUAAUUGGGAAAGGAGAAAGAAAAUAAUUAGUGGGUUAGCAGCUGCACUGCAUUAUCUACAUGAACAAUUGGAGACACAAAUAAUUCAUAGAGAUGUAAAAGCAAGUAAUGUAAUGCUGGACUCACAUUAUAAUGCCAGGCUCGGUGACUUUGGCUUGGCAAGGUGGCUUGAACAUGAACUUGAGCACAAAACCAGAAUUCCUUCAAUGAGAAACCACCAGUUUCGCUUGGCAGAUACAACC
rnacentral:lncRNA from 1 species